UGAGUUAUAGUUUAACGGUAGAACCAAUCAUCUAAAUUGAAAUUCCUCCCAAGAAAAUCAAAAGCGAUUGGCUAUUAAAAGCGAAUUGUAAAAUGAAUGAUUGAUGUGGGUUCAAUCCCCACUAACUCGA
rnacentral:tRNA from 1 species